ensembl:lncRNA
AUGCCAGGCUUCUGUUUAAGAAAGAGACCUGUUUUACUGUGUUAAUGUUUUCAUUUUGAGCUAAAAAUAAAUGGUUAAAUGAUCAUUUGUUCAUAUCACAAAGAAUAUGCAUCUGCUUAAAUCAACUUCAAGUCAAAUGGUUAAAAAAAUAAUUUCACACACAAAAAAAAAGAGCUACCACACUGGGAAGGGUGAAGACAACUGGGUUGCCCGGCCCUGGCCACGAGGUGUCCCUUAUUUAUCUUUCAGGGAGUUGGCAACCCUAAUGGUUAGGGACAAUUGCAAUCACAUGGCAGGAUGAACUUCAUUCACAAGAACAACUGAGAUAAUCCAUCCACAAUACAAGGUUAGUCAUUAAUAUACUGCUGCAUGGGCUGGGCUGUAGUUUCAUCAUAAGGGUUUAAAAAUUGAGCUUUAAAAUGAUUAGCGGUGAUAAAAAAAUGAGACAGUGAUCACUGACUGUUUUUGGGGGCUUGUUGAGAUUAAAUAGAACAAGAUACAAAGCAUUAAAACAUGUUAAAAACACAACAGCCUUAAUAAAUGCAGAGUAGUUUGGGCCUGGAAGCAGGAUUCAUUACGUCAUCACUUAAAGACCGGAUAACAGAAACUACCACAAAGACUAUCCUGAUUACUUUGAAAGAUACAGUUACAGAAUGUCGCAAAUCCAUCUUUAAGCUUGAAAUGAAAAUAAAACAAACAAAAGAAAAACAAAAAAUAAAUAGUAAACGCAUAGUCAAACACUUAGCUCUGUUACAGCUGUGUUAUCCCAUACAGCAUAGUCUCCUCUAAACUGACAAUUUGUUUAAUAAAAUUAAAGUAUUUUUUAAUUUAAUUUUAAUUUUACUUCCUCAGAUCUUCUGUAUGAUACAGCAAUAUCUUAGAGAGAACACAGGUAAACACAGAAAAAAUUGGAUGCAUUAACAGAGAUGACAACCUCCAGGAGAGGAUGACCUGCAGGAUGAAAAACAGCCAAAUGGAAACCGCUUUACUAAACAUCAGUUAUUGUUCGCUUCAUUGCUGUGGGUUGAUUUAGGUCUUGCUUACAGAUGAAGGCAAAAAGAGAGGGUGGAGACAAAACAUCAACAUUUUAAAUGCAUUUUCAAAACCAAGCCUUCAAUCUCACCUCUAGCCCACGGGGACAUGAAACAAAGUCUCA